rnacentral:rRNA from 1 species
GGCGAACGCUGGCGGCGUGCUUAACACAUGCAAGUCGAACGGAAAGGCCCUGCUUUUGUGGGGUGCUCGAGUGGCGAACGGGUGAGUAACACGUGAGUAACCUGCCCUUGACUUUGGGAUAACUUCAGGAAACUGGGGCUAAUACCGGAUAGGAUCUCCUGCUGCAUGGUGGGGGUUGGAAAGUUUCGGCGGUUGGGGAUGGACUCGCGGCUUAUCAGCUUGUUGGUGGGGUAGUGGCUUACCAAGGCUUUGACGGGUAGCCGGCCUGAGAGGGUGAACGGCCACAUUGGGACUGAGAUACGGACCAGACUCCUACGGGAGGCAGCAGUGGGGAAUAUUGCACAAUGGGCGGAAGCCUGAGGCAGCAACGCCGCGUGCGGGAUGACGGCUUUCGGGUUGUAAACCGAUUUCGCCUGUGACGAAGCGUGAGUGACGGUAAUGGGUAAAGAAGCACCGGCUAACUACGUG